rnacentral:rRNA from 1 species
UACAGAGGUCCCAAGCGUUGUUCGGAUUCACUGGGCGUAAAGGGUGCGUAGGCGGUCGGGUAAGUCGGAUGUGAAAUCCCCAGGCUUAACCUGAGAACUGCAUCCGAUACUGGAUGGCUUGAAUCCGGGAGAGGGAUGCAGAAUUCCAGGUGUAGCGGUGAAAUGCGUAGAUAUCUGGAGGAAUACCGGUGGCGAAGGCGGCAUCCUGGACCGGCAUUGACGCUGAGUGAGCGAAAGCCAGGGGAGCAAACGGG